rnacentral:tRNA from 1 species
GUGGUGGCUCAGUGGUAGAGUGCUUGCCUAGCAUGUGUGAGGCACUGGGUUUGAUUCUCAGUACCACA